rnacentral:lncRNA from 1 species
UUCUAUCAUGAAAAUGCACGAGUAAACAACCAUCGUAAUGUCCCCAAUGUAAUAGUAAAAUGUCAUUGUUUACUAUUCUAGUCAAUGUUUACUUGGCAUGUUAACUACUUAAAGUUAAAUCUUGGAAGACCCGCCCGAAGGCUGUCUGGCCUGUAGACCCACCCGUAGGCUGUCUGGCCGGUGCCGAGCCUAAUGGCCCCGUGGUAGUCAACAUCCCCACUCUAGGAAUGAGUCUUGCCCAUGGCAAUCCACUUCGGUGCCCAAUCC